rnacentral:misc_RNA from 1 species
GAUGAAGAACGUAGCGAAAUGCGAUACUUGGUGUGAAUUGCAGAAUCCCGUGAACCAUCGAGUCUUUGAACGCAAGUUGCGCCCGAAGCCAUUAGGCCGAGGGCACGCCUGCCUGGGCGUCACACGUCGUUGCCCCCUCAUCUACUCCUUCGGGAUUGCGGGGGGCGGAUGAUGGCCUCCCGUGCGCCUCGUCGCGCGGUUGGCAUAAAUGCCAAGUCCUCGGCGACACACGCCACGACAAUCGGUGGUUGCGAAACCUCGGUUGCCCGUCGUGUGCGGUCGUCGCGCAUCGAGGGCUCGAAAAAAUUGCCGGGCUCCGGCUCGGCUUUCAACGCGACCCCAGGUCAGGCGGGGUUACCCGCUGAAUUUAAGCAUAUCAAUAAGCGGAGGA